rnacentral:rRNA from 1 species
CGGAUACGUCCUGCACUUUUCGAAGUGCAGGGGAAAGAUGGGGAUCCGUAAGGACCUAUCACCCUUGGAUGGGCCCGCGGCCUAUCAGCUAGUUGGUGAGGUAAUGGCUCACCAAGGCUAAGACGGGUAGCUGGUCUGAGAGGAUGGUCAGCCACACUGGAACUGAGACACUGUCCAGACACCUACGGGUGGCUGCAGUCGAGAAUCUUUCGCAAUGGGGGAAACCCUGACGACGCGACGCCGCGUGGAGGAUGAAGGCCUUCGGGUUGUAAACUCCUGUCAGCAGGGGAGAACAAGCUGUCGAUGAAUAAUUGACAGCUUUGACAGUACCUGCAGAGGAAGCCACGGCUAACUCUGUGCCAGCAGCCGCGGUAAUACAGAGGUGGCAAGCGUUGUUCGGAUUUAUUGGGCGUAAAGGGUCCGUAGGCGGCCUGGAAAGUCGGAUGUGAAAUCCCACAGCUUAACUGUGGAACUGCAUUCGAAACUUCUAAGCUCGAGUG